AGUACCAGUGGGUGAUCAGGCCCAGGAUAGGAAUCAUCCCUAAGCAGAUCCUUAAAUGCCAAAUGUAACUUCAAUUUUUGUGACAGAAAAUGUAUUUGUGCACUGUGCCUAGCAUGGAAAGAGAGAAAAACUGAGUCUAAUUGAUAGGCCUGAUUGCAUCUCACUGACCAGAAUCUCUGUACCUGAGAAGCUUAGGGGCAAGAAGGAACAGCUGUUUUCUUGAAGUGUGGAAACAUUAGUAAUACUUAGGACGGGGCUGGCCAUUGGAGAUUAUGUUUGUGGUAAAGGCCUGACCUCCUGCUUGUGAACAGCCCCGAUGUGGAAGAGGACACCUAACAAUAAAGAGAAGGGUUCCAUUCAGAGCCGAUACAUCAGCAUGAGCGUGUGGACAAGCCCACGGAGACUUGUGGAGCUGGCAGGGCAGAGCCUGCUGAAGGAUGAGGCCCUGGCCAUCGCCGCCCUGGAGUUGCUGCCCAGGGAGCUCUUCCCGCCACUCUUCAUGGCAGCCUUUGAUGGGAGACACAGCCAGACCCUGAAGGCAAUGGUGCAGGCCUGGCCCUUCACCUGCCUCCCUCUGGGAGUGCUGAUGAAGGGACAACAGCUUCACCUGGAGACCUUCAAAGCUGUGCUCGAUGGACUUGAUGUGCUCCUUGCCCAGGAGGUUCGCCCCAGGAGGUGGAAACUUCAAGUGCUGGAUUUACGGAAGAA
rnacentral:sRNA from 1 species